rnacentral:snoRNA from 1 species
UUGCCCAAUGAUUAUAGCAAGACGCGUUAUUAUGAGGACUAAUGCUGGAACUCUUUCUCCUCCUCCUUCUUUGUCCCUUCCUCUUUCACCUUACCCCUCACUUUCCUUAGGGUAUCCAGCGUCCUAUGAGCAAGACUGAGAUAUGAGGGCAA